rnacentral:misc_RNA from 1 species
GUCUGCUACGUCGCGCGCCCGACCGGGAAUUCGCCGCUCAUGAUUUGCGGCCAUGUACGGCACGUCUUCUGCGAUUGUUUGCGCAGGAUCCCGUGCAUGCUCCAGCACGAGAUAUCCCCGCCGCUCUGCUUCAUCUUGAAAACGCUCCUUGGUCCAGUCAGCUUGUUCAAGAAAUUCAUCGAAUGUUGGCAUCGCCGUUUCGACGGGAGACCCCCAUUCUCGCCGCACAUUGUCAACCGAGGAACUGAGAGUGGUCAUCAGUCCACAGCGCAUGCCGCCAACCAUACUCUCUCCUGGGCGCUACAACAGCGCAGUAAGACAAGUUCUCCUGCGGUUGUUGGCCCAAAUUCA